AGCAUGCGUGUGUCUCUGUUGAACUGGUGGGCAGACUUAAAGAGAGGUGCAAACGACAAUCCUCUUUUGCAACCUGGAACUCUCCAGUCAGGGUGAGUUUUGAUCCGUGUAGAAGGAGUAUG